rnacentral:sRNA from 1 species
GCCUUCUACUGCCAGUGUCUGCCUGGACACACAGGCCAAUGGUGUGAGGUGGAGAUAGACCCCUGCCACAGCCAACCCUGCUUUCAUGGAGGGACCUGUGAGGCCACAGCAGGAUCACCCCUGGGUUUCAUCUGCCACUGCCCCAAGGCAAGUGACCACAAAUCUGCCUUCUCUGUUGCUCCCUAUGCUGACAAAAGGCAAGAAUACCUCAAUUGGAAUCCCAGAAGGGGCUGUGGGUGAGCACUGAUGUGGAAAUUAUUGGAAAAAGCCAUGCCAAGUUCACAGUGGCAAGUGUCUCUCAGAAGCAGUCAAAGGAAAGGCAGGAUCAGUUGAUAGCGUGAAUGGAAUUUUCAAAAAUCACAGGCGUUGCCUAAGGGAAGGUCAGGAGCUCCCCAAGGUCAAGCUGUGUGGUGGGUGGCCUCAGAUAGGUUAUUUUAACUCUGUGUGUGUUUGUGUAUGUAUUUAUGGACCUCAGAUGCAUGGAAUUAGACUAAUCUUAAGCUUUGGUUCCUGAUAUACUGACAUUGGUUUAUGCCUGGUCUUCUUUUAUUUUAUUAUUCUAACAAUGUAACACCCAUGAACCUAACCCAAGAAUUUCAAUAUUAAUAAUAACUUACAACUACUUAAGUCCUCCUCCUGUAUCCUAUUCCCUCUCCAGAGGAAGACAUAUAAUCCUAUUUCUAAGGAGUAAGAUAAUAAUAUAAUAGCCGGCCAGGCACAGUGGCUCACGCCUGUAAUCCCAGCACUUUGGGAGGCCGAGGCAGCCGGAUCACCUGAGGUCGGGCAUUCGAGACCAGCCUGACAAACAUGGAGAAACCCUGUCUCUACUAAAAAUACAAAUUAGCUGGGCGUGGUGGUGCAUGGCUGUAAUCCCAGCUAUUGGGGAGGUUGAGGCAGAAGAAUUGCUUGAACCCGGGAGGCAGAGGUUGCAAUGAGCCGAGAUUGCACCAUUGCACUCCAGCCUGGACAACAAGAGCGAAACUCUGUCUCAAAAAAAAAUAAUAAUAAUAAAAUAGAAUUCUAUUAACUGUUUAGUCUUCUAGGACUUGCACUGUAAUGCCACAGUCCAUCAGGUUGUUGCACACAGCUGUGCUUCAUCCAUUUUCAACAGAAUGUAAUAUGUCAUUGUGUGAAAUUACCAUAGGACAUGGUUUCAACAUCCACAAAAUGAUUAACUUGAUGCUCUCUGAGGCGCCUUUUAGAUAUGAGAAUCUAGGACCCUCUGCACCGUCUUAACCCAAGAGUUUGCUUGAUGGGGAGUGGGAAGAAUAAUGCAAGUUCCAUCUCCAAUAUCUCCCCUCCCCUCCACAGGGUUUUGAAGGCCCCACCUGCAGCCACAGGGCCCCUUCCUGCGGCCUCCAUCACUGCCACCACGGAGGCCUGUGUCUGCCCUCCCCUAAGCCAGGCUUCCCACCACGCUGUGCCUGCCUCAGUGGCUAUGGGGGUCCUGACUGCCUGACCCCACCAGCUCCUAAAGGCUGUGGCCCUCCCUCCCCAUGCCUAUACAAUGGCAGCUGCUCAGAGACCACAGGCUUGGGGGGCCCAGGCUUUCGAUGCUCGUGCCCUCACAGCUCUCCAGGGCCCCGGUGUCAGAAACCCGGAGCCAAGGGGUGUGAGGGCAGAAGUGGAGAUGGGGCCUGUGAUGCUGGCUGCAGUGGCCCAGAAGGAAACUGGGAUGGAGGGGACUGCUCUCUGGGAGUCCCAGACCCCUGGAAGGGCUGCCCCUCCCACUCUCGGUGCUGGCUUCUCUUCCGGGACGGGCAGUGCCACCCGCAGUGUGACUCUGAAGAGUGUCUGUUUGAUGGCUACGACUGUGAGACCCCUCCAGCCUGCACGUGAGCCUGAAAUCCACUGGAUCCGGGGAAGGAGAGGGGUGGGUAAGAGGAGGAGGAAGGAUGUAGAUGGCUCUGGGUUACAGUGUGGCCACAGCCUCGGGCUCCGGGGAGUUUCCACCCUAAUAACCAUCACUAAACAGGGGUCGAAGACUCUGGACUCCAACCUAGGCUAAUGAGGUGGCAUCAAUAUUUAACAUGGGGCGUGGCCUUUGGGCUCCUCUCUGAGAGUUGUAGGAACUCAGGCCUCAAGCCUCCUUCCCUAAGCCUUGCUGCCAUGGAGUAUUUCCCCUAGCGGUCAGCACCUCACAGAGGGAAAAGGGCCCUGGACUCUCCUUCAGAAACAGAGGAGAGCUUGGGAGGGUACAGAGAGGGGACAGUCUAGGGAGACAGGGGUGUUAGCAGACAUUGGGGCGUCUGGACUACCAUCCAGGACUUGACUAAGCUCAUUGCUCCACAGCUGCCCCCACUUAGCAACCAAAGCCCUAGAGGGCACAAAAUAUGGGGAAUUCUCUCUAGGGUGAAGAAAAGAGUCAGGUUUUAGGGAGGUCCUGAGUCCCCCUCUCCUUACCCCACAGUCCAGCCUAUGACCAGUACUGCCACGAUCACUUCCACAACGGGCACUGUGAGAAAGGCUGCAACACUGCAGAGUGUGGCUGGGAUGGAGGUGACUGCAGGCCUGAAGAUGGGGACCCAGAGUGGGGGCCCUCCCUGGCCCUACUGGUGGUACUGAGGCCCCCAGCCCUAGACCAGCAGCUGUUUGCCCUGGCCCGGGUGCUGUCCCUGACUCUGAGGGUAGGACUCUGGGUAAGGAAGGAUCGUGACGGCAGGGACAUGGUGUACCCCUAUCCUGGGGCCCGGGCUGAAGAAAAGCUAGGAGGAACUCGGGACCCCACCUAUCAGGAGAGAGCAGCCCCUCAAACGCAGCCCCUGGGCAAGGAGACCGACUCCCUCAGUGCUGGGUUUGUGGUGGUAAUGGGUGUGGAUUUGUCCCGCUGUGGCCCUGACCACCCGGCAUCCCGCUGUCCCUGGGACCCUGGGCUUCUACUCCGCUUCCUUGCUGCGAUGGCUGCAGUGGGAGCCCUGGAGCCCCUGCUGCCUGGACCACUGCUGGCUGUCCACCCUCAUGCAGGGACCGCACCCCCUGCCAACCAGCUUCCCUGGCCUGUGCUGUGCUCCCCAGUGGCCGGGGUGAUUCUCCUGGCCCUAGGGGCUCUUCUCGUCCUCCAGCUCAUCCGGCGUCGACGCCGAGAGCAUGGAGCUCUCUGGCUGCCCCCUGGUUUCACUCGACGGCCUCGGACUCAGUCAGCUCCCCACCGACGCCGGCCCCCACUGGGCGAGGACAGCAUUGGUCUCAAGGCACUGAAGCCAGAGGCAGAAGUUGAUGAGGAUGGAGUUGUGAUGUGCUCAGGCCCUGAGGAGGGAGAGGAGGUGGACCAGGCUGAAGAAACAGGCCCACCCUCCAAGUGCCAGCUCUGGUCUCUGAGUGGUGGCUGUGGGGCGCUCCCUCAGGCAGCCAUGCUAACUCCUCCCCAGGAAUCCGAGAUGGAAGCCCCUGACCUGGACACCCGUGGACCUGAUGGGGUGACACCCCUGAUGUCAGCAGUUUGCUGUGGGGAAGUAGAGUCCAGGACCUUCCAAGAGGCAUGGUUGGGAUGUCCUGAGCCCUGGGAACCUCUGCUGGAUGGAGGGGCCUGUCCCCAGGCUCACACCGUGGGCACUGGGGAGACCCCCCUGCACCUGGCUGCCCGAUUCUCCCGGCCAACCGCUGCCCGCCGCCUCCUUGAGGCUGGAGCCAACCCCAACCAACCAGACCGGGCAGGGCGCACACCCCUUCAUGCUGCUGUGGCUGCUGAUGCUCGGGAGGUCUGCCAGCUUCUGCUCCGUAGCAGACAAACUGCAGUGGACGCUCGCACAGAGGACGGGACCACACCCUUGAUGCUGGCUGCCAGACUAGCGGUGGAAGACCUGGUUGAAGAACUGAUUGCAGCCCAAGCAGACGUGGGGGCCAGAGAUAAAUGGGGGAAAACUGCGCUGCACUGGGCUGCUGCCGUGAACAACGCCCGAGCCGCCCGCUCACUUCUCCAGGCCGGAGCCGAUAAAGAUGCCCAGGACAACAGGGAGCAGACGCCGCUGUUCCUGGCAGCACGGGAAGGAGCGGUGGAAGUAGCCCAGCUGCUGCUGGGGCUGGGGGCAGCCCGCGAGCUGCGGGACCAGGCUGGGCUAGCGCCCGCGGACGUCGCUCGCCAACGUAACCAUUGGGAUCUGCUGACGCUGCUGGAAGGGGCUGGGCCACCAGAGGCCCGUCACAAAGCCACGCCGGGACGCGAGGCUGGGCCCUUCCCGCGCGCACGGACGGCGUCAGUAAGCGUGCCCCCGCAUGGGGGCGGGGCUCUGCCGCGCUGCCGGACGCUGUCAGCCGGAGCAGGCCCUCGUGGGGGCGGAGCUUGUCUGCAGGCUCGGACUUGGUCCGUAGACUUGGCUGCGCGGGGGGGCGGGGCCUAUUCUCAUUGCCGGAGCCUCUCGGGAGUAGGAGCAGGAGGAGGCCCGCCCCCUCGCGGCCGUAGGUUUUCUGCAGGCAUGCGCGGGCCUCGGCCCAACCCUGCGAUAAUGCGAGGAAGAUAUGGAGUGGCUGCCGGGCGCGGAGGCAGGGUCUCAACGGAUGACUGGCCCUGUGAUUGGGUGGCCCUGGGAGCUUGCGGUUCUGCCUCCAACAUUCCGAUCCCGCCUCCUUGCCUUACUCCGUCCCCGGAGCGGGGAUCACCUCAACUUGACUGUGGUCCCUCAGCCCACCAAGAAAUGCCCAUAAACCAAGGAGGAGAGGGUAAAUAAUAGAAGAAUACAUGGUAGGGAGGAAUUCCAAAAAUGAUCACCCAUUAAAAGGCAGGCUGGAAGGCCUUCCUGGUUUUAAGAUGGAGCCCCCAAAAUGAAGGGUUGUGAGUUUAGUUUCUCCCCUAAAAUGAAUGUAUGCCCACCAGAGCAGGCAUCUUCCACGUGGAUAAGCUGCAGCUCUGGAAAGAGGGUUUAAGAUGCUAGGAUGAGGCAGGCCCAGUCCUCCUCCAGAAAAUAAGACAGGCCACAGGAGGGCAGAGUGGAGUGGAAAUACCCCUAAGUUGGAACCAAGAAUUGCAGGCAUAUGGGAUGUAAGAUGUUCUUUCCUAUAUAUAUGGUUUCCAAAGGGAGCCCCUAUGAUCCAUUGUCCCCACUGCCCACAAAUGGCUGACAAAUAUUUAUUGGGCACCUACUAUGUGCCAGGCACUGUGUAGGUGCUGAAAAGUGGCCAAGGGCCACCCCAGCUGAUGACUCCUUGCAUUCCCUCCCCUCACAACCAAGGAACUACACUGCGGGGAUGAAGCGCUUCUUCUAGCCACUGCUGUCGCUAUUUAAGAACCCUAAAUCUGUCACCCAUAAUAAAGCUGAUUUGAAGUGUUA